rnacentral:rRNA from 1 species
GAUGAACGCUGGCGGCGUGCUUAACACAUGCAAGUCGAACGGUGAAGGCGGAGCUUGCUCUGCUGGAUCAGUGGCGAUCGGGUGAGUAACACGUGUGCAAUCUGCCCUUGACUCUGGGAUAAGCGCUGGAAACGGCGCCUAAUACUGGAUACGAGCUGCGAAGGCAUCUUCAGCAGCUGGAAAUAAUUUCGGUCAGGGAUGAGCUCGCGGCCUAUCAGCUUGUUGGUGGGGUAAUGGCUCACCAAGGCGUCGACGGGUAGCCGGCCUGAGAGGGUGACCGGCCACACUGGGACUGAGACACGGCCCAGACUCCUACGGGAGGCAGCAGUGGGGAAUAUUACACAAUGGGCGAGAGCCUGAUGCAGCAACGCCGCGUGAGGGAAGACGGCCUUCGGGUUGUAAACCUCUUUUAGCAGGGAAGAAGCGAAAGUGACGGUACCUGCAGAAAAAGCGCCGGCUAACUACGUG